GGAUUAGGCAUGCAAGUCGAACGAGGGAGUAUUCCGAAAGGGGUACAAAUCGAGUGGCGUAAGGGUGAGUAAUGCAUUGAUAACCUACCUUUGAGAUGGGAACAACAGCGUUCCAAGCAAUUGGAGCUACCGAAAGGGCUGCUAAUACCCAAUAAAACUACUAUUGCUUUGGUGGUGGUAGUCAAACGUGCGGGAUCGAAAGGUUCCAUUUGCUCAAAGAGGGGUCAAUGUCCUAUCAGCUUGUUGGUGGGGUAACGGCCUACCAAGGCGAAGACGGGUAGCCGGCCUGAGAGGGUGGUCGGCCACACUGGGACUGAGACACUGCCCAGACUCCUACGGGAGGCUGCAGUCGAGAAUCUUUCGCAAUGCCCGAGAGG
rnacentral:rRNA from 1 species